UGGAAAAAAACAAAAUGAGAGGUAGAUUUUAAAUUUGUAUCAUCACAUCACUCUUCUCUCCAAUCUCGUUGUUGGUUCGUUGUUGAUUUAGAGGAAUAUGGGGGAUUUCUCCGGAAAGAUGAACAUCGAGGACCUCUUAUCUUAUGGCGACGAUCUGGUGGCUUUAUUGAAGGACCAAAACGACGUUCAAACCUUGAAUCAAUGUCUCCAACAGUUCAACGCCCUUCAAUCUUCUUGUCACGAUGAUUCCCGUAAUGUUCACAGCUCAGUUCAAGAUUAUGAGAAGAAAAUCGAGGAAUGCCGGGUGAAAACAGAGGAGGCGAAAGCGAGAACUGUUGCAGACGAUGAAAUGGAUAUUCUUGAAAAGGAGAUCGAAGAGGAAGUUAGGGAAGAACAUUUGCUCAUGGAGGAGAUUAGACUUGUCACCAAUCAGAUUAAUGAGCUAGACCGACAAAGGAUUUCGGUUCAAGAAAGGAAGCAGGCAACGAAGAAACUUGAACAACAAGAACUUAGGGCGCAGAGGAAGCUUUCAAUGUAUGCAUCUGUCACUGAUAUCAUUCCAAACAUGGAUGAUCACUCCAAAAUAUCUGGCCGUAUCCUUCAUCUGAGAUGUCAUUGUAUCUAAUUAUGCUGUAGUUCUGAGACGAUAUUUUACGGUGAUAAUACUCAUUUGUUGAACAAGCAGCAACCAAGAAAGACGAGAUCUAGCCAUCAUCAGAAUCAUGAUAUCAGAUUCAGUUUCAGUAUGUUUCGUAAGAUGGAGUUCAGAAUAUCAGGUAAUGGCGGUCGUCGAGCAUUAUAGACCUGCAAGCAUCUGGUGCAGGACUGCCGUUGUAAGCUUUGCAGACAUAUGCCAUGAAGUUUUGGUAGUCCUGAUUCAG